rnacentral:rRNA from 1 species
AGUCGAGGGGCAGCGGAGAGGUAGCAAUACCUUUGCCGGCGACCGGCGCACGGGUGAGUAACACGUAUGCAAUCCACCUGUAACAGGGGGAUAACCCGGAGAAAUCCGGACUAAUACCCCAUAAUAUGGGCUCUCCGCAUGGAGGGUCCAUUAAAGAGAGCAAUUUUGGUUACAGACGAGCAUGCGCUCCAUUAGCCAGUUGGCGGGGUAACGGCCCACCAAAGCGACGAUGGAUAGGGGUUCUGAGAGGAAGGUCCCCCACAUUGGAACUGAGACACGGUCCAAACUCCUACGGGAGGCAGCAGUGAGGAAUAUUGGUCAAUGGUCGGCAGACUGAACCAGCCAAGUCGCGUGAGGGAAGACGGCCCUACGGGUUGUAAACCUCUUUUGUCGGAGAGUAAAGUACGCUACGUGUAGCGUAUUGCAAGUAUCCGAAGAAAAAGCAUCGGCUAACUCCGUGCCAGCAGCCGCGGUAAUACGGAGGAUGCAAGCGUUAUCCGGAUUUAUUGGGUUUAAAGGGUGCGUAGGCGGCACGCCAAGUCAGCGGUGAAAUUUCCGGGCUCAACCC